UCAGACGAUGCGUCAUGCAUAUCAAUAAGCGGAGGAAAAGAAACUAACAAGGAUUCCCCUAGUAACGGCGAGUGAAGCGGGAAGAGCUCAAAUUUGAAAUCUUAAAGGGUUUCCCUUUACGAAUUGUAGUUUAAAGAAGUGUUUUCUGUUGAGGUUUUGGUAAAAGUUCUUUGGAAUAGGACAUCAUAGAGGGUGAGAAUCCCGUAUUUGACCAUUACUUUCAACUUUGUGAUACACUUUCAAAGAGUCGGAUUGUUUGGGAAUGCAGUCCAAAAUGGGUGGUAAAUUUCAUCUAAAGCUAAAUAUUGGCGAGAGACCGAUAGCGAACAAGUACCGUGAGGGAAAGAUGAAAAGAACUUUGAAAGGAGAGUUAAACAGUACGUGAAAUUGUCAAAAGGGAAGCGUUUGACACCAGUGUUGUUUUUCUGAAAAUCAAUUAAAGAACUGUUUAUGCUAAGUUGUUUAGACUUUAUCAGCUAUCUGUUUAGUUCUGAGCUUUUCUUUAAUGCACUUUUCAGUUAACAAGUCAACAUCAAUUUCUUUUGCUGUAAAAAAGCUUGAGGAAGGUGGCUUGAGAUUCGUCUUAAGUGUUUAUAGCCUCUUGCCUAUGCAGUCGGAGAGAUUGAGGUCUGCAGCGUAGAUCCUUCGGGGCUAAAUGCAUUUGUGCUAAGUUAUAGCAUUUUAUAGACAACUUGUUGACUAUGAUUUGUCUUGUAGCUUACUCGCUUAUGUUAUUUUACCUACGCUUAGGAUGUUGACACACGCGCGUGCUCG
rnacentral:rRNA from 1 species